CUUAGACACAAAGAACAUUGAACAUCGUGAGAAAUUUCAGGAGCUCAAGAAGGAGAUUAACUUCUAUUGCAACCUGCACAGCCGGCUCCUGAUGGACCAGGCAUGUAUGAAGAAGAAGUUGGUCACAUUGAAGCAGGAGUGCAAGGAGUUACAGCGAUAUUUGUUUGAGUUGAACCCAAACGAUGAAGAAGAACAGGAGAUGACCAGCAACCUCCAGACCCAGCAAAAUGUGGUCUCAGGAACUGCAGGAGACAUGGCAUAGGACGGAUCCCAGGAAGACAGCCCCCUGAGGAAUGAGUUUCUCUCUCAGGAGUUCUCUGUGAUGACAAUCCUCACAGUCAAAGACUUUUUGGGGGAAUAUUAUUCUUCUCAGAUAAUUUCCUCAAUGUAUAGAGACCCUAAAUUUAUGUAUCCGUAUGCCAGCCUGUCUCAUUGAAGUCUUUCUCCUUUCUCAUACCGACAACACCAUUUGAGAGACAACUGAGGGGACUGCCUUGACAUCUCCUGUCCUAGAGGAGAAACAGGACUACAACUGUG
ensembl:lncRNA